AGCAGCCGCGGUAAUUCCAGCUCCAAUAGCGUAUAUUAAAGUUGUUGCAGUUAAAAAGCUCGUAGUUGAAUUUUGGGUUUGGCCGAUUGGUCCGUUCUUGUAACGAGUACUGGUCGGUUGGGCCUCACCGCUUGGUGAUGCGUAAUGUCAUUUAUUGGGUGUUGCGAGCAGCCAAGACCUUUACCUUGAAAAAUUAGAGUGUUUAAAGCAGGCUUAUGCCAGAAUACAUUAGCAUGGAAUAAUAGAAUAGGACGAUUUAUCUAUUUUGUUGGUUUCUAGGAAAAUCGUAAUGAUUAAUAGGGAUAGUUGGGGGCAUUAGUAUUCAAUUGUCAGAGGUGAAAUUCUUGGAUUUAUUGAAGACUAACUACUGCGAAAGCAUUUGCCAAGGAUGUUUUCAUUAAUCAAGAACGAAAGUUAGGGGAUCGAAGACGAUCAGAUACCGUCGUAGUC
rnacentral:rRNA from 1 species